rnacentral:lncRNA from 1 species
CCCCUGGUGCGGGGGCUUGUUUCUAAGGCGCUGAGCCCUUCACCUUUCCGGAGCCCGGCAUGGUGCUGGCAACGCCUCUCUCAUCGCCUCGUUUUAAAAAUAAUGCGUUAAAAAAAUUCAGUUUGCUAUGCGAACAGCAUUCCAACAGUACACAAUUAUAUCCGAAAUAGUUAAGCAAUAAAAGAAAAAAAAAAUGACGGGCGUUGUUGAGGCAGGAGGAUUACUGCGAAUUCUACUCCACCUUGGGCUACAUACCGAGAUUGUGUCAAAAACCACGGAGUGGGGGAAAUUAAGUGAAGUAAUCGUCUACGUUGGGAACCAAAGGUAUAGUCAAGAUUCCAAGAAAAUGCCCCAAUGUGUGCUGCUUCUAGGAUCCUAGAGAUCCAAAGACUCCUGCAUCCUUCCACAAACCUUUUACAUCACCUGAGAUCUACAUAACUGUGUUUAUGACAGCAACAGCUCCACUUCUAAGUACCAACUUGUCAGAACACGAAAGAAUGGAGUCGUAUGAAGAUAUUAGUGCUUGUGAGGAAACGCCAAGAAAACGCGAGCCUUGUGAUCUCAGUUCCUUCAAACAUGGCGCCAUUCUUAGAAUGUGCGUUCAUGCUUCUCCCAGAUGUAGCCCGUAGAGUGGGUUCGCUUCAGAUUACUCAUUAAACUGCCUAUUGUUAUUUGCUUAUAUGCCUUUAUGGAAAACAUGUUUUUGCCAUGUGCAAUUUGUCCUUGUGAUUGCACACUUUACCAUGUGACUCCUCUGAACACUCAGAGUAUAAAUUGAAUGGUU